UACGGGAGGCAGCAGUGGGGAAUAUUGCACAAUGGGCGAAAGCCUGAUGCAGCUAUGCCGCGUGUAUGAAGAAGGCCUUAGGGUUGUAAAGUACUUUCAUCGGGGAGGAAAAACAAAACUAAUAAUUUUAUUUCUUGACGUUACCCGAAAAAGAAGCACCGGCUAACUCCGUGCCAGCAGCCGCGGUAAUACGGAGGGUGCUAGCGUUAAUCAGAAUUACUGGGCGUAAAGAGCACGUAGGUGGUUUUUUUAAGUCAGAUGUGAAAUCCCUGGGCUUAACCUAGGAACUGCAUUUUGAAACUGAAAUACUAGAGUAUCGUAGAGGGAGGUAGAAUUCUAGGUGUAGCGGUGAAAUGCGUAGAUAUCUGGAGGAAUACCUGUGGCGAAAGCGGCCUCCUAAACGAAUACUGACACUGAGGUGCGAAAGCGUGGGGAGCAAACAGGGAUUAGAUACCCGU
rnacentral:rRNA from 1 species